UACGUAGGGUGCGAGCGUUAAUCGGAAUUACUGGGCGUAAAGAGUGCGCAGGCGGCUGAGCAAGUCGAGUGUGAAAGCCCCGGGCUUAACUUGGGAAUUGCGCUCGAAACUACUUGGCUUGAGUGUGGCAGAGGAAGGUGGAAUUCCACGUGUAGCGGUGAAAUGCGUAGAGAUGUGGAGGAACACCGAUGGCGAAGGCAGCCUUCUGGGCCAACACUGACGCUCAUGCACGAAAGCGUGGGGAGCAAACAGG
rnacentral:rRNA from 1 species